AGUUCUUAAUACAGAUAACACCCUGGAAUUUCCAGCAAGCUCAUAAAUGCUUCUGAACUUACAGGUUAUUGUCUUUAGACAGUACUGAAUCUCGGUUUAAAACUGCAAAAUAGUUUCCUGUAUCUUUUUCUGUGGGCUCCACUAGUUAAUUUACUAUUAUCACAGCUUACUGUGCUGGAUAUUCACCACAACAUAUACGGUGUCAGGACCAGUUUGAUGGGACCCUGUGCGCUCUAGAGUGUCCCUUUAAAUCAUCAUAAAAUUGGUUCCUGCCUGUAGGCAUUAUACAGAAAUGGGAAAAUACGAAAUUCCACUUGA